ACAGUGGGUGAGUCACAUCAGCAGCAUCAAGACAAGACAAGUUACACACAGAAAUGCUGAACAUUUUCUCAAGUAAUCCUCACCCCUGUCUCACAGAGAAGAAAUGGAGGCUCAGAGACGUUUUGAUAUGCCCAAGGACCGUGAGAAGACUGGAGCAUGGGGCUGGGGAUGCACCAGGGCUGGGAGACAGGGGCGAGCAUCCCCACAGUCAUGGAUGGCAGGGAGGCCGCGCUGCAGAGCUAUUAAAACAUGGCCUCUGACUUGGCGAUGCGGGCUCUUUUUUGGUUCCAUAUGAACUUUAAAGUAGUUUUUUCCAAUUCUGUGAAGAAAGUCAUUGGUAGCUUGAUGGGGAUAGCAUUGAAUCUAUGAAUUACCUUGGGCAGUAUGGCCAUUUUCAUGAUAUUGAUUCUUCCUACCCAUGAGCAUGCAAUGUUCUUCCAUUUGUUUGUAUCCUCUUUUAUUUCAUUGAGCAGUGGUUUGUAGUUCUCCUUGAAGAGGUCCUUCACAUCCCUUGUAAGUUGGAUUCCUAGGUAUUUGAUU
rnacentral:lncRNA from 1 species